GACGUAGGUGGCGAACGUUUAUCCGGAAUUAUUGGGCGUAAAGGGUGCGUAGGUGGCCUGGCAAGUUAUUAGUGGUAAAUCGAGGCUCAACCUCGUGGAAACUAGUAAUACUGUUCGGCUUGAGUGCAGGAGAGGUUAACGGAACUCUAUGUGGAGGGGUAAAAUCCAUAGAUAUAUGGAUGAACAUCAAUAACGGCGAAGGCAGUUAACUAUUCUGUUACUGACACUGAGGCACGAAAGCGUGGGGAGCAAAACGG
rnacentral:rRNA from 1 species